rnacentral:rRNA from 1 species
GAUGAACGCUGGCGGCGUGCCUAAUACAUGCAAGUCGAGCGAACAGAUAAGGAGCUUGCUCCUUUGACGUUAGCGGCGGACGGGUGAGUAACACGUGGGUAACCUACCUAUAAGACUGGGAUAACUUCGGGAAACCGGAGCUAAUACCGGAUAAUAUUUCGAACCGCAUGGUUCGAUAGUGAAAGAUGGUUUUGCUAUCACUUAUGGAUGGACCCGCGCCGUAUUAGCUAGUUGGUAAGGUAACGGCUUACCAAGGCGACGAUACGUAGCCGACCUGAGAGGGUGAUCGGCCACACUGGAACUGAGACACGGUCCAGACUCCUACGGGAGGCAGCAGUAGGGAAUCUUCCGCAAUGGGCGAAAGCCUGACGGAGCAACGCCGCGUGAGUGAUGAAGGUCUUCGGAUCGUAAAACUCUGUUAUUAGGGAAGAACAUACGUGUAAGUAACUGUGCACGUCUUGACGGUGCCUAAUCAGAAAGCCACGGCUAACUACGUG